CCCCUCCUUCACUCCUUCCUGAGAGUACAUACUGUAUAUUGUAUAUAUACCAUAACACAUCUUACAGGCUCCAAACUAAUGUCUACUCAAAGUUCACAACUUAUCAGGACUAUUUAGAGUUGUACAUUCAAUGCUGAGUUUUCCUUCCUGUCUUUGUAGGCUACCCAGAGUAGGUUGCUGGGAACUGAGUGGGACCGUACGCAUGGCAGAGAGUUUCCAGAACUGACAGAAGCCAGGCAGUAGGCAUGACGUUUUACACACCCACAACAGAAACCUUCAGGACUGUCAAGAGUCCCGUGUAACUCAGCAAAUAGAGCCUGUGUACCUGGUAGAGCCUCUGUAGCUCAGUAGGUUGAGCCUGUGUCACUGGUAGAGCCCCUGUAGCUCAGUAGGUUGAGCCUGUGUAGCUCAGUAGGUAGAGUCUGUGUCGCUGGUAGAGCCCCUGUAGCUCAGUAGGUAGAGUCUGUGUAGCUCAGUAGGUAGAGUCUGUGUCGCUGGUAGAGCCCCUGUAGCUCAGUAGGUAGAGCCUGUGUUGCUCAGUAGGUAGAGCCUGUGUCGCUGGUAGAGCCCCUGUAGCUCAGUAGGUAGAGUCUGUGUAGCUCAGUAGGUAGAGUCUGUGUAGCUCAGUAGGUAGAGUCUGUGUAGCUCAGUAGGUAGAGUCUGUGUAGCUC
ensembl:lncRNA